CGUAUCUGUGGGCCAUCUUUUGAAUUUACCCCUAAAAAACGAGCUUGUAAGAAACAUUUUACGGUUUCUGAAAAGGAGGCAAUUAUAAAUAUGUAUAAAGUAUGUGAAGUAAAUCAUCCAGAUUACAGCAAGACACAAAAAGUAUCUUUUACAGCUGAUGCAGCAGGUGUUUCCAAAAGGAGUAUCUAUAAUAUAGUCAAAAGUUAUGAAAAUACUCAUACCUUUCAACCACCAACAAAGUAUAUCAUAGGGCGAGAGCUAUUUUGGAUAACAUUGAUGAGCAAACAAAAAAUGCUAUCCGUAGAAUAAUCCAUUCGUUUUUCCUAAAAAAUGAGGCACCAACUGUCAAAAAGAUUUUAUCAGAAGUUGAGAAAAAUGAAGAAAUUCCGAAUUUUAACGAAAUAACUUGUCGACACUUACUCAUGGAAAUUGGUUUUCGCUUUGUAAAGAGAAGUCGAAAUAGUAUUCUUAAAGAAAGGGAUGAAAUAAUAUGCUGGAGGCGACGUUAUUUACGAUCCAUAAAAAAGACUCGACAAGAAAAUAGAAACAUUUAUUAUUUAGAUGAAACAUGGGUGAACGCGGGUCACACGGUUUUUAAAGUAUGGAUACAACCGUAACCACCGCUAGAAACGCUUUUAUCAAUGGAUUGUCCACAGGGCUAAAAGCUCCGGCAGGAAAGGGGAAACGGUUGAUAGUUCUACAUAUUGGGUCAGAAGAUGGCUUUGUUCAGGGCGGUCAACUAGUUUUUGAAUCAAAACAGACGAAAGAUUAUCACGAGGAGAUGAAUGCUCAAGUUUUUGAAGAGUGGUUCGAAAAAAUUUUACCUAGCUUAGAAAAUGGCUGUGUUAUUGUGUUGGAUAACGCAUCCUACCAUACCCGAAAGCUUGACAUCUGCCACAAAGAAAGGAGAUAUUCAAAACUGGUUAAUGACCAAACAAAUUCAUUAUGAACAAGAUAUGAUAAAGGCAGAACUUUUGAAAUUAGUAAAAGAAAACCGACUCGCAGACACAUUUUUAGUGGACGAAAUGGCUAAAGCUACCGGCCGAACGGUCUUAAGAUUGCCACCAUAUCAUUGCGAGUUGAACCCAAUCGAACUGAUAUGGGAUCGAGCAGAUUAAGGGUGAAGUAGCUCGGAAAAAUGUCACUUUUAAAUUUGCAGACCUUAAACCACUUUUUGAUCAAGCAGUGCAAAAUGUCAGUCCACAAAAUUGGAAAAAUGCUGUUGCUCACAUUAUCAAAGAAGAAGAACGCAUGUGGACUCUGGAUGAUUUAAUGGAAAUUCAGGUGGAACCACUUAUUAUAAAUGUUGGCGAAGAUGACGAUACAACUUCUUCAG